rnacentral:rRNA from 1 species
AUUGAACGCUGGCGGCAUGCCUUACACAUGCAAGUCGAACGGCAGCACGGGUGCUUGCACCUGGUGGCGAGUGGCGAACGGGUGAGUAAUACAUCGGAACGUACCUUAUCGUUGGGGAUAACGCAGCGAAAGCUGUGCUAAUACCGCAGACGCCCUGAGGGGGAAACUGGGGGAUCGCAAGACCUCGCGCGAUUAGAGAGGCCGAUGCCUGAUUAGCUUGUUGGUGGGGUAAAAGCCCACCAAGGCGACGAUCAGUAGCUGGUCUGAGAGGACGAUCAGCCACACUGGGACUGAGACACGGCCCAGACUCCUACGGGAGGCAGCAGUGGGGAAUUUUGGACAAUGGGGGCAACCCUGAUCCAGCAAUGCCGCGUGAGUGAAGAAGGCCUUCGGGUUGUAAAGCUCUUUUGUCAGGGAAGAAACACCGGCUCUAACACAGUCUGGGAAUGACGGUACCUGAAGAAUAAGCACCGGCUAACUACGUGCCAGCCGCCGCCGUAA